GACCAGACUCGGCCCCGGGGUUCAGCCAGCACUCGUGCUGGUGUACUUCCCCGGGGGCGGGCCAGCGUCGGUUUGGGCGGCCGGUCAAAGGCCCCAGGAAUGUGUCGCCCUCCGGGGCGUCUUAUAGCCUGGGGUGCAAUGCGGCCAGCCCGGACCGAGGAACGCGCUUCGGCACGGACGCUGGCGUAAUGGUCGCAAACGACCCGUCUUGA
rnacentral:rRNA from 1 species